CACACUCUAAAAACCGUUGGGUUAUUUGUUUUACCCAAUAGGUGGGUUAAACAUAUUGGGUUGUUCUGUUGGGUUAUUCCUAGCUUGUAUUGGGUUAUUUCCUUAAUAACCCAGAGAGUUGGGUUAAAUUCGGGCUCACGUCACGCAUUUUGAUUAAUGGUCAACAGGUGCCACUGCUGAGUGCGGACAGACACGAGAGACAUUCUUGGAAAUGGUGCAUUAAAAACCUUACAAAAUGGCCAGCAAGAUGAUUCAGCCUUCCUACAGUACCAAGAGGCAAAGCAAACAUUUAUUAAUUUGCAAUCUGUCAGAAAACAAACAUAAUUCAGUAUUUGGAGGAGGAGGUAUGAAGAAGACCCGAUGUCCUGCUAUGGGAUGAAUUUGACUAAUCACAAGCCUUUGUUAUCGUGGGGAGGCAUGGCCCAGGAGCAAGACCAGCAGUUGACAUGUGCUUUAAUAUUUUUUUUUACAUUUUAUCCCAAGCCUUUCAUUACUGUUAAGUAGUUUCUGUAACACACAAUACAUUUUGUACCAUGUGAUGUUUCCUGAACACACUGUCACCUGCUUAAAGGGACAGUUCCCCCAAAAAUGAAAAUUGUCAUAAUUUUCUUCCUCUCCUGUCGUUACAAACCUGUACACAUUUUUUUGUUCUGAUGACCACAAAGGAAGAUAUUUUGAGUAAUGUUUGAAACCAAACAGAUCAUGAGCCCCAUUGACUGUCAUAGUAGGAAAAAAGAAUA